CCUACGGGAGGCAGCAGUGGGGAAUAUUGGGCAAUGGGCGCAAGCCUGACCCAGCAACGCCGCGUGAAGGAAGAAGGCUUUCGGGUUGUAAACUUCUUUUAAGAGGGAAGAGCAGAAGACGGUACCUCUUGAAUAAGCCACGGCUAACUACGUGCCAGCGGCCGCGGUAAUACGUAGGUGGCAAGCGUUGUCCGGAUUUACUGGGUGUAAAGGGCGUGCAGCCGGGAAGACAAGUCAGAUGUGAAAUCCCGGGGCUCAACCGCGGAACUGCAUUUGAAACUGUUUUUCUUGAGUACCGGAGAGGUCAUCGGAAUUCCUGGUGUAGCGGUGAAAUGCGGAGAUAUAAGGAAGAACACCAGUGGCGAAGGCGGAUGACUGGACGGCGACUGACGGUGAGGCGCGAAAGCGUGGGGAGCAAACAGGAUUAGAUACCCCGGUAGUC
rnacentral:rRNA from 1 species